ensembl:lncRNA
GAAAAGAGUAGCUACCCUCUUGGAUUGUCUAUUCCCCAUAACUCCUCACCGUACCCCACAACUAAGGCUCUGUUUUUCUCAAAAGGCCCUUGGUAAUGCUAAGAGCUGUAAAAGCCUAUGUCUUUGAGGGGUCCUUCGAUGAUGAUGGUGGUAGAAUACUAACCCCUUUUUAAUAGUGGCAGAAAGUCAGGCCUGAAGCUCGGCGGAGGGACAACUGGGCGAUCCCGGAGGGAGACGUGGACGGAUCAGCGCAACCAUCUGGGAGCCCACGAGCCCAUCGCAGGCCUGGCGGUGCGCCCGUCAGUCGCGGGGAGCACCCAGCCACCUAGAAUGCACUGCACUAGGCACGUCGGGGACUCAAGGUGUAUUACUAACUAUGGAGCAGACUGAUAGAUACCAGCUUCUCAGAAUGGCUGAUGCAGAUGGAUUACUGCAAGGUAAGUGCUUCCUGGGGAAAGUAGGAAAGGGAAAUGAAAGCACAAAUCAGUCUCUAAAAAAUUAAGGGAAAGGAAUUUUUUUCCUUUAAAUGAUAGUCAAUCAUCAUUCAAAACCAGAAACUGCUUGUUUUAUAUUCUAGAGGCAAAAAUGGAAUAUUAAAAUGAGUUCAAAAGAAACUAUAUUAUUUUGACAUUAUAUGGAAGUCUAUUUGGUCAAACAGUAUUAGAUGCAGAACAAACCUGCUUCCUUAAGAUACAACAGGGCUAUAGUACUGGCAGAGAUGGAAUAAUAGAAUUAAAUAGUUACAUUAGAUCCUUUCAAAUAAUACCUCAUUAAACAAACAGCACGUUCUAUUCCAUAAUAAAUCAGUAUUAAUGUAUAAUGAGAAUUUCUCCCGGAGAACCAUAAAAUAAAGAAAUGGAAUUGAACAUGCGAUAGAUUAUUCCCAGACACACAUUCUAAAAACUGAUGUGUGUUAAAGUUUCAACUUGUAUUGAUCCUUCAUGCUAUGGUUGGCUACAUGGUGGACCAGUGGCUAAUGAACACAUCCUUAGAUAUAACUCACUGUAAUAUUUGACUCUGUCUGAGUGAGGAACCAAGGCGUAUUGUGAUUUCAGUGACUCUAUAUUCCUAUCACCUGGGAAAGAGAAGGCCUCCAUGACGUAGCAGAGCAAAUAAAUCAACCAUCACCAUGACAUACAGACACUGAAAUUAAAGAAGAAAAUAUGCAUGCAGUUGGUUCAAUUGGCACCCAUUAAAGCUAAUAACUAAUCAUCCUUGCAAGUUUCUAUCUCUGAAUUAUCAAAUCUGCAAAGAAAACAACAUCCGUCCACUUUUACACUCCAGUGGAAGAGGUGGUCCCUCGCGGCAGGGCGGCACAGUCUCGCCAUCUGGAGAAUAAAUCGAGUGUGAAGUACAGUAUAGUUUGGGACCAAGCUCCGUGGCGGCAGCUCAGCAGUCAGUUCAUUAGUUCCAAACUUCCAGGGAUUAGAGCAGCAUCAAUUCUACUGUCGGAUAGGAUGAGACAGACAGAAUUCGAGCGUCAAGGAGGAAUGUGACAACUAAGAAGAAGCCCCUUGGGCUUAUUUAUAAAACUACAAAGUAUAAACACACCUAAAUAAAUGCCUUAAAUAAUAGCAUUAUCACAGUUUCAUAACAUCUGAAUUAGCACCCUUCCUUUCCCCCCUCCCCAAGUUGUAUGUUAAUGUAUAGCAAUUUCAGUGAGAAUAGACGGGAAUAGAUUUUAGAAAAACCCAAGUUCAGGAAGAGAAAUAAGUUAUACUAAAAUGUAGAUGUGUAUUCUAACUUGAAUUUUGGUAAUUAAAAAAAGAAAUAAAACAAGAUGUAACUACCAUGUCUUGAAAGUCAGAAAAAAUGUAUGUAUAUAUAUAACUGUAUGUGUAUGACUAUAUACACAUACACACAUCUAUAUAUAUGUACACAAUUUUUCACCCCAACUACUGCUGACUGCUUCAUUUGAGAAAACUACUAAUAAAUUCUUUUAUUUACUUAUUCUCCUCUUAAAAUUUUUUUCUUAUGUUUAUGAAAGCUAUAGUCCAGUUCACCUUUCUUAGUCUUAGUUUCCUCAUUUGUACAGUGAGGAUAAUGUUUGCGCCACUUAACUUGUGAGUUUCUUUUGUGGAAGGCACCACUUCAUAAAUCUUAGACACUAUGCAAAUGUGAGUUAUUGCUAUGAUUAUGUGUCAUUUUUACUACCAGGUUAAAAAGGAAUUGGAUGAUCUGCAUAUAAUAACAGAGACUAUAAAAAUGUGAAAAGAAAAUUUCAAGGUCAUGUUAGAUUUCCAAAAAUU